AUGUAUAAGCAUGAGAACAGGUCAUUAAAUCCAUCCUCGGCACACCAGCGGCCAUUAUGUCGUCAUCAUACUUCAGUGAAUCGUGUUUUGCUUUGUACUAAAAAUAAUCCUCUCUUCCACAGCAAGGACAGAGGUGGACUCACAACAGGGCUGGUCACAAGCCUCCAGGCUGAGUGUGUUGCUACAUAACACACUCGCAUUCUUUGGAAGAUGAAAAGCAAGUGAUGGGUUGCGAGAUGAAAGUGGCAGAAAGGAAAAGAAAAACAAUAUGUAUAGCUAUUUAUUACACCAGUAAGAGCAAUUAAACGGGUUUUAAUUACAGUACAUAGUUUCUUUUGAAUGUAUCUCUUUUUAUCACAUCAGCUGUCCUUUAACCCUGACACAUUUCUUUAUUAUUAUUUCCAUGAAGUGCAUUAUGCUAUGAAAAUCGAGCCACAACAGCAUGUUUAUAUAAUUGUAUUAAUUGUAUUAAUUAUUAUUAUUUUACUUGCUUACAAACACUACUGGUCAUAAGAUGGAGGUGGGGGGUUGGGGGGUCUCUUAUGUUCACCAAGACUGCAUAUAUUUGAACAUACAGUAAAAACACAAAUAUUGCAAAAUAUCAUUACAAUUUAAAAUGACUGUUUAUAUUUUAAUAUACUUUUAUAAAAUGUAAUUCAUUUUCAGCAGCCAUUACUCCAGCCUUCAUUGUCACUGGAGAAAUUCUAAUAUGCUGAUGUGGUUCUCAUGAAACAUUUAUUAUUAUUAUUAAAGUUAAACACUUUUUCAUUAACAGUUUGUGAUCAUUCAAACGUUUGGGGUAAGAUUACUAUCAUUAAAAACAAAUAAAUAAAAUAAAUGGAAUAAUGGUUUCUGAAAAUUCAGCUUUGCCAACACAGUAAUAAAUUACAUUUAAAAAUAUACCAAAAUAGAAAACAGUAAUUUAAAAUUAUAGUAUUUCACAACGUUACUGAUUUUACAUUCAUUUUCCUGUAAUAAAUGCAGCCUUAGCAAGCAUAUUAGGCUUCUUUAAAAAAAAAUUAAAAUCUUAAUGAUUCCAAACUUUUGACUGGUAUGGUACAUACUGUACACACAUGCAUAAAAUUAUUAUCUGUAUAUACAUAAAAAUCAUAAUCUAAAUCAUAAUAAUUGUAUGAAUAUCAAAAUGUAAAGUUGUUAUCUAAUAAACAGAACAGAAAACAAGAUUAUAUAAAAAUCAACAAAUAAAUAAAAUAAUAAUGUGCAUGAGGGAUAAGUGCAUAAUGGCUUUGUUUCUAGCCACUAUGUUCAUGAAUAAUUGCACAACUUGAGUCACAUGAGAGCUACCUAACAAGCUGUCACUUCAAAGAAACACUCAAUAUUACAUAAAGCCAUGCUACUGCGUGCUUAUUCUAUUAGCAUGAAUGCUAAGAUGACACCUGAACAAAGGAGCGCGCGGCAGCACUCGUAUGCAAGCUGCCACGAGAGAACAACCCUGUGUAUCUCUGUAUUCGUGCCAUCAGCCGAACAAAUGCACACUCACAAUGGAAAAUAAAAUAAAAAAUUACUUUUAAAAUCUCAUCAAGAAACUCAAGUAAGAUGGACUGAAUUUACAUCACUCCAGUGGCC
ensembl:lncRNA